AGUGAACGCUGGCGGUAGGCCUAACACAUGCAAGUCGAACGGCAGCACAGUAAGAGCUUGCUCUUACGGGUGGCGAGUGGCGGACGGGUGAGGAAUACAUCGGAAUCUACUUUUUCGUGGGGGAUAACGUAGGGAAACUUACGCUAAUACCGCAUACGACCUACGGGUGAAAGCAGGGGAUCUUCGGACCUUGCGCGAUUGAAUGAGCCGAUGUCGGAUUAGCUAGUUGGCGGGGUAAAGGCCCACCAAGGCGACGAUCCGUAGCUGGUCUGAGAGGAUGAUCAGCCACACUGGAACUGAGACACGGUCCAGACUCCUACGGGAGGCAGCAGUGGGGAAUAUUGGACAAUGGGCGCAAGCCUGAUCCAGCCAUACCGAGUGGGUGAAGAAGGCCUUCGGGUUGUAAAGCCCUUUUGUUGGGAAAGAAAAGCAGCAGGUUAAUACCCCGCUGUUCUGAAGGUACCAAAAGAAUAAGCACCGGCUAACUUCGUG
rnacentral:rRNA from 1 species